GUAUCUUUGAAUAAGGAAUCAGAAUUUGCAAGGAUUGGUUGCGUGUGAAGUGUCACUGACCAAAAUGAACUGGAGCUCCCAGAGACAGCUUGGAGGUCACGGCAAGCCAAGAGCCAGUAUUGUCACUGGCCAGAAGAGGCUGUUGAAAUAGGAGGAUGCAGUCAAACUCUGGUAUUACAGACAGCUGAUGGAUGCGUUUGAAAACUGUGGUUUGUUCUCUUAAAACUGAAUAAGACCAAACCUCGUCUGGGAAACUCCUGCUGGUUGACCUCAGUGUCCUCCACA
rnacentral:lncRNA from 14 species